GAUUUUAAUGAAUACAUAGUGUAAGGGACCGAGCAGGGGGACAACAAUUUGAGGUGAAAGGUACGAGACAGAGACCUUUCUCCAAACAUUUUAAUUAGAGAUAUGAUCCAAGCGACUAGAUUUUUGUUUGCUUACUUUAAGGAAAUAUCAAAUUUACAGAUGGAAGAAUGGUACCAUUCAUUUGAAUUCGAAUUCCUAAAGCUUUUAACGUUGGUUUUCUUCUGGCUGAAACCUUAAAUCUCCAGGGAAAAUUAAAGUAGCCUCAAGAAAUUUUGCCCCUUCAACCCUGUGGCUAUCCAUCUGUAAUAUUCAGUGUGGGCCAUAUGGAAGCUUAUUGCUCUAAGGCAUCGACGUGAUGUGAAAAUUUGAGCCACCUUAAAACUCUGCAAGAAAUAUUGGCAGCUUCAAUAAUGUCAUUACCAAUAUCAUAUAUCUGAAAGACGAAAGGAAGGAGAUGAAACAAAGGAAAUUAAAAUACUUAGCUUGUCG
rnacentral:lncRNA from 1 species